UACGGAGGGGACUAGCGUUGUUCGGAAUUACUGGGCGUAAAGCGCACGUAGGCGGAUUUGUAAGUCAGGGGUGAAAUCCCGGGGCUCAACUUCGGAACUGCCCUUGAUACAGCACGUCUUGAGUCCGGAAGAGGUGGGUGGAAUUCCUAGUGUAGAGGUGAAAUUCGUAGAUAUGGGGAGGAACACCGGUGGCGAAGGCGGCCACCUGGACGGUCACUGACGCUGAGACGCGAAAGCGUGGGUAGCAAACAGG
rnacentral:rRNA from 1 species